rnacentral:rRNA from 1 species
GAGUGGACUCCUACGGGUGGCAGCAGUGGGGAAUAUUGCGCAAUGGGGGCAACCCUGACGCAGCCAUGCCGCGUGAAUGAAGAAGGCCUUCGGGUUGUAAAGUUCUUUCGGUAGCGAGGAAGGCAUUUAGUUUAAUAGACUGAGUGAUUGACGUUAACUACAGAAGAAGCACCGGCCAACUCCGUGCCAGCAGCCGCGGUAAUACGGAGGGUGCGGGCGUUAAUCGGAAUAACUGGGCGUAAAGGGCACGCAGGCGGUGACUUAAGUGAGGUGUGAAAGCCCCGGGCUUAACCUGGGAAUUGCAUUUCAUACUGGGUCGCUAGAGUACUCUAGGGAGGGGUAGAAUUCCACGUGUAGCGGUGAAAUGCGUAGAGAUGUGGAGGAAUACCGAAGGCGAAGGCAGCCCCUUGGGAAUGUACUGACGCUCAUGUGCGAAAGCGUGGGGAGCAAACAGGAUUAGAAACCCCGGUAGCCUGAU